UCAGCUCAGUGCAACCUCCGCCUGCUGGAUUCAAGCGAUUCUCGUGCCUUAGCUUCCUGAGUUUCUGGGAGUACAAAUGCGUGCCACCACACCAAGCUAAUUCUGUUCCUUUCUUUGACUUCGCUCCCUAGAAGCAUGAACUGCGAUGAGCACUCCCUUCCUGCCUUUGCUUGUACUGUCUUCUACCCCUGAAACUGCACUCCUGACCCUUUGGCUUUAGGAUACCUGUACAACUCGUUUUUCCAGACAUUCACGAGUCACCUCCAAAUGCUUUCUCGAUCUGACGAUUAUGUGUCUUGGGGUUGAUCUUGUCAUGGAGUAUCUUACUGGAGUUGUCUGGAUUUCCUGAAUUUAAAUGUUGCCCUAUCUUGUUAGGUUGGGGAACUUCUCCUGGAUGAUGUCCUGAAGUAUGUUUUCUCCAAAGGCAUGAGCUCCUCAAAGUUCAGGAAGCAAGUCCAAGACUUCACCCUUGAUCUUUUUCCACAGCCCUAUGGGGUGAAUAGAAGCAGACAUUAGAUACAGCUCACACAUGGAGAAACUGAAGUACACUCCAUCAUUUCUGAGCA
rnacentral:lncRNA from 10 species